CCUACGGGAGGCAGCAGUGAGGAAUAUUGGUCAAUGGGCGUAAGCCUGAACCAGCCAAGUCGCGUGAGGGAUGAAGGUCCUAUGGAUCGUAAACCUCUUUUAUCGGGGAAUAAAGUGUGGGACGCGUCCUAUUUUGUAUGUACCCUAUGAAUAAGGAUCGGCUAACUCCGUGCCAGCAGCCGCGGUAAUACGGAGGAUGCGAGCGUUAUCCGGAUUUAUUGGGUUUAAAGGGUGCGUAGGCGGCCUUUUAAGUCAGCGGUGAAAGUCUGUGGCUCAACCAUAGAAUUGCCGUUGAAACUGGGGGGCUUGAGUAUGUGUGAGGCAGGCGGAAUGCGUGGUGUAGCGGUGAAAUGCUUAGAUAUCACGCAGAACCCCGAUUGCGAAGGCAGCCUGCCAAGCCAUGACUGACGCUGAUGCACGAAAGCGUGGGGAUCAAACAGGAUUAGAUACCCCGGUAGUC
rnacentral:rRNA from 1 species